AUCCUGCCAGUAGUCAUAUGCUUGUCUCAAAGAUUAAGCCAUGCAUGUCUAAGUAUAAGCGACUUGUACUGUGAAACUGCGAAUGGCUCAUUAAAUCAGUUAUGGUUUCUUUGAUGGUACCUUGCUACUUGGAUACCCGUAGUAAUUCUAGAGCUAAUACAUGCAGGACUGCCCGACUUCGGAAGGGCUGUAUUUAUUAGAUAAGAAACCAUCUCGGGUCCGCCCGGUUGUGUGCUGAGUCAUAAUAACUGCUCGAAUCGCACGGCUCUACGCCGGCGAUGGUUCAUUCAAAUUUCUGCCCUAUCAGCUUUCGAUGGUAGGAUAGAGGCCUACCAUGGCGUUAACGGGUAACGGAGAAUUAGGGUUCGAUUCCGGAGAGGGAGCCUGAGAAAUGGCUACCACAUCCAAGGAAGGCAGCAGGCGCGUAAAUUGCCCGAAUCCUGACACAGGGAGGUAGUGACAAGAAAUAACAAUACAGGGCUACUUCUAGUCUUGUAAUUGGAAUGAGUACAAUUUACAUCUCUUCACGAGGAUCAAUUGGAGGGCAAGUCUGGUGCCAGCAGCCGCGGUAAUUCCAGCUCCAAUAGCGUAUAUUAAAGUUGUUGCAGUUAAAAAGCUCGUAGUCGGAUUUCGGGUCGGGCCGAGCGGUCUGCCGAUGGGUAUGCACUGUUUGGCGCGGCCUUCUUUCCGGAGACCGCGGCUACUCUUAACUGAGCGGGCGUGGGAGACGGAUCGUUUACUUUGAAAAAAUCAGAGUGUUUCUAGCAGGCAGCUCGCUCUUGCAUAGGUUAGCAUGGGAUAAUUUAAUAGGACUCUGGUGCUAUUUUGUUGGUUUCGAACACCGGAGUAAUGAUUAAAAGGGGCAGUCAGGGGCACUCGUAUUCCGUCGAGAGAGGUGAAAUUCUCAGACCAAUGGAAGACGAACCACUGCGAAAGCAUUUGCCAGGGAUGUUUUCACUGAUCAAGAACGAAAGUUAGGGGAUCGAAGACGAUCAGAUACCGUCGUAGUCUUAACCAUAAACCAUGCCGACUAGGGAUUGGAGGGUGUUCGUUUCGACCUCUUCAGCACCUUACGGGAAACUAAAGUCUUUGGGUUCCGGGGGGAGUAUGGUCGCAAGGCUGAAACUUAAAGGAAUU
rnacentral:rRNA from 1 species